rnacentral:lncRNA from 1 species
CGGCACAUAUCGCUUCCUCAUGAUCUUUUUCAUCUCCGUCCAUGUAUCAACCAUUGGCUCUUCAUUUCUUGCUCUCUCCUUUUGUAGCUUGUUCCACCACACAAGAGCAUAGUCGGAAAACUCCGUGGCGGCAAGCUUCACCUUCUGGUCUUCCUCAUAGUUGUUGCAUGAGAAAACAUGGUCUAUUUUCAUCUCCCACUCCAAGUAGGCCUCCGGAUCAUUCUUUCCUUUAAAUGGAGGAAUGUUGAGUUUAAUACCAUCAAUUCGGUUUUGUCUAGGAACACCAUCAUUCCCUCUUCUCCUCCUUUCUUCUUCAUUAUGAUCUCUAUU